rnacentral:rRNA from 1 species
AUUGACGUUGGCGGCAGGCUUUAGACAUGCAAGUCGAACGGGUACAGCAGAGCUUGCUCUGGCUGACGAGUGGCGGACGGGUGAGUAACGCGUAGGAAUCUACCCAGUAGCGGGGGAUAGCCCGGGGAAACCCGGAAUAAUACCGCAUACGCCCCACGGGGGAAAGAGGGCCUCUUCUUGAAAGCUCUCACUAUUGGAGGAGCCUGCGUUGGAUUAGCUAGUUGGUGGGGUAAAGGCCUACCAAGGCGACGAUCCAUAGCUGGUCUGAGAGGACGAUCAGCCACACUGGAACUGAGACACGGUCCAGACUCCUACGGGAGGCAGCAGUCAGGAAUAUUGUGCAAUGGGGGAAACCCUGACACAGCCAUGCCGCGUGUGUGAAGAAGGCCUUAGGGUUGUAAAGCACUUUCAGUAGGGAGGAACUAGCAGCGUUAAUACCGCUGUGAGAUGACGUUACCUACAGAAGAAGAUCCGGCUAACUCCGUGCCAGCAGCCGCGGUAAUACGGAGGGAUCGAACGUUAAUCGGAAUUACUGGGCGUAAAGCGCGCGUAGGUGGUUUGUUAAGUGGGAUGUGAAAGCCCCGGGCUCAACCUGGGAACUGCAUUCCAAACUGACAAACUAGAGUACGAUAGAGGGGGGUAGAAUUCAGAGUGUAGCGGUGAAAUGCGUAGAUAUUCUGAGGAAUACCGGUGGCGAAGGCGGCCCCCUGGAUUGAUACUGA